rnacentral:lncRNA from 1 species
GGUACUAUUGUGCGAUAGGCUGAACUUAUCGAUGUUGUCUUUUGAAAAUACCAAUCAAAAUUGUUUCCAAAUAAAUUCUUCCGCUAUAAAUAAAUUAAACAAUAUAAUUUCUCUCCAACAGAGUCUCCACCGGAUCUUAUCAAUUAUUCAUACCAUUCCGCAUCUAUCCCAUCUACCACCAAAUUGUUUGGUCUACAAGUAAGAUAUCUCAAUAUAUUGUAAAAUUUAACCAUAACAUAAACGUUUAAAUACAUUUGUAAAUAAUCGUUAUACAUUCGACUGACUUAGUCAUUUUCGAUUUGUCUUUAUUAUUGCAUUUUCUGACCGUGGCGUCCUUCCUCGGUGUUCAUGCCUACGUACUAAGAACCUGCGAUGAAGGUACAUUAGAGCGAUGUCCACGUUCAAAGAAAUCUUAAAGUUUCGUGCUCCAAUACUCGAGGCCGUACCAAAUGGAGAAGACGAUGUCCAGAGAUAUUCUUGUUCCACAGAGGGGCCAUCAGCAGUGUCAGAGGUCCAGGGCCAGGCCCAGCUCUACAAACCGCUAAAGAUCCUCCGGGGAUUAACGCCAGUCCUUUGAAUUUGGAUUACACAAUUUGUUUGUGUUUGAAUUACAAAUUACAUUAAACUUAUUUAAAGUAUAAUUAGGCAUCCCGAGGAGACGUGACCUUUCAGCAGACGAGGCGGUAGGAGAUAUAUCGACCAGCUGUCUCCGACGAACGGAUGAUCUUUACAACUUGACCACGCUUAAGACCGAAGUAGCGAGCCACUGGAUCGCCGGCCUGGAUGCGCAUCAACAUGUUCUCCUUAAGCUUGUAGCGACUGAGCAGCUCCUGCUUCUCCUCAACGGUCAUCACCACAUGCUCCGGCACCAGCUCGUGCUCG